CACAGCCACCUGCUUCUCCCUGCAGGUGCUGGCUGGGUCAGCACCCUUUGUCUCCACUAAGCUCCCACAAAAGAGGUGCCCCUGCCAGUGUCUGGUAUUAAAGAAAAGACUCCCAGGCCUUCUUUGGAGUGGUCAAAGGACCAAAGACUCAGAUUCUUGUCCCAGUUCUGCCACUUAAUAGCUUUGUGAUCCCAGGGAAGUCACUUUGUCUUUCUACCUCUUGGCUAUUUCCUCUAUAAAACAAGGGCGCUGGCUUAGCGGGUGCCUCUUCCAGGGCUACCGUUCUGUUUUAAAAAUACUCUCUAGUUGGAAGUUUCCACUUCCAAAAUAUUGUGGCUGUUUUGAUUGUCUGGCUUUUGCCUCCUUCCUUCUCCCUCCUCCCUCCUCUCUCCAUCACUGUGAAUUUCAGAGCUGGAGAAAGAUGCCAGACUCUGACAGUAAUGGAGAUGGAAACCCUCUAUUUGUCUCCAGAGCAGCCUGCUGAGCAGGUGAGGCAAACUGCUUCCCCUGCUCUUGCCUCCACUGAUCCCCAGGGACCUGCUCUGGGAGUAGCAGCCAGAAGCUGACCUCCGCUCAGCCCUGUCAGCUGUGAUGGGACCCAGGUGCCAGCAGUGGCUUGGUGACACAGGUGCCAUUCCCUUGGGCCAUGGCAGGGACAUUCAGACUCAUGUCCCUGAAUGGCAUCUAGCAGGGAGCACUUUUUGUCAGUAGCACACAUGCACCAAGCCCAUUUUUGCUCCUGAGGGGGCUCUAUGCUAAGUUUCAUUGGGUGUGAACACCCACUUGCUUGGGUAGGUGCCCACCAUCACCUUGGGGUGUGUGGCUAAUUUGCCUCAUCAGAAAGAGGUCAGCAGUUGAAAGCAAAGAAAAAGAACAAUGCCGAUCACUAACAAGUCCAGCAAAUCAGAACUUCUCGACAUUGUGGACAGAUUUGAUUGUGUUACUAUCACAUCUAGCCGGUUGAUAUUCAAUUGUGAAAACAGAGAGAGAUCUAGUACCAUCCAUUAAGGUACCAUCCAAAUUUGGAGGAGAGAACUCACAGAAGGGCAUCUUCAGUUUAAUAGAAGGGUCCAGACAAACUUGUGAACUUGUAGUUCUGAGCUAUCUCUCCCAGCUGGGUGCCACAUUCUCUACAACUUCAUCAGUAGAGCCACAGAACAGAGUUAAAAAGGACUUGCUAAUCCUCAUGUUAUAGGUGAGGAAGAUUCAAUCAUCUAAAUUCCCAUGUUACAGGUGAGGAAACUGAGGCCAAAGCAAGUAAUUAAUGUCCACUCCUUCACGGACCAAUCUAAGAUAGGAUGCUUUCUUCCUUCCUUUCUUCCUUCCUUCCUUCCUUCCUUCCUUCCUUCCUUCCUUCCUUCCAUCUUUUGAAUGUAAAUAAAAUUGGAAAGCAUGAGCAUGUAAAAUUAUCAAGCAGAUUACCUUGGUGUAUUCAGUUUUCUAGAAAAAUUCCCCUCUGGCAGAGAAGACUCUGGGCCCUGGGGAAUGGUGGCCAAGGUGCUAAAAGAAGAGGGCAGGAAGAACAGAAAGAGAGAGGGGCACAGGAUCAGUGAAGAGAAAUGUGCACAGUGAGAUGUAGCAAAGAACACCCCGGUCCGAGACUCAGAAGACCUGGGUUCUGUUUCCACACUUGCCACUUGCUUACUUUGUCACCCAGGGGAGCUUCAUUUUCUCCAUCAGGAAAAUGGAAGCAAUACCUACUUUACAGUUGGCCAUUGUGAUCAAAUGACCAGUGCCCAUGAGACGCCUGAUCCAUAGGACGUGACCUACAAAUGCUCCUUGAUUCAGAAGCAGAUUAUCAUACCCUACUAGGUUAGGGGCCCACCACAGUGAAAGGGGCCCACCACUUCCAAGGGGAAUGUGUAACCACCUGCAGGGUCUGUCUACCUGAAAUCUGAACAAAAUGUUGCUAAUAAGAAAUCAAAACUUCCAGAAAACUUGAGCAGGUGGGUUGAUUUAAAAAACAAACAAACCUGGGUUUACUGUUUUUUGUUUAUUUUUGGAGGCACAGGUGGGGAAUUAUAUUGAAGAGAAUUAUUUGGAAAAAUCAGUCAUCAUGUAUCCACAGCCCAAGUGACAUUCUGGGAUACCUAUUACAGACCUUGGCAGACGUGUGUGAGUGUCCAAUGACUAUUUGUACAAUGAAUGAACAGUCAGUCACUGGAGAAUUGAAUGACUCAUCAGUCCUAGAGUCAUUAUAAUCUUAUUAUUAAUAGCAUGUUCCAGAUUUCAUAAACAUGCAUGCAUUUAAUGUGAACUAAUUGCUACUCACUAUGAGAAAAGGGUCUCAGAACCCAGGGAGCAUAGAGGAAAGUCCUAGAUGAGAACAGAAGAAAAAUACCAGCAUAUAAACCACCUGAUCAAGGAGGACUGUCUCCUACUUAUCCUUUAUAUUUCAAAUUUCUCUGACACGAAAUACAUCAACUUGUUCCAAGUUAUCCCCUGCUAAAGCAGUCACGGUAUUUAACUUCUGUCUUCUUGCAGCUUAUGCAGUGACCACUAGGGGCGUCCAAGAGGGCUUGGAUCUCCCUGAGCCCCUGCCUGAGGACGCUUUGGCUCUCAAAGUCGGGCACAUUAUCAUGGAAGAGGUGGUGGGAUGAGAUGAGGCAAAUCCUGGCAGUGCUCCAGAACCAGUGCUUUCAUCACCUGGAGGCAGAUUAGACUCAUCCCAUCCUUCACCUGGAGUGCCACAGCAGACUCUCAGCCAACCCUCCUGCCUCCAACACUGCCACCAUCCAUUCCUUUUCUUACUCUGUCACCAGAAGCAGUUGAAGCUUAUAUACAUAAAUCUAAUCAUGUCAUUUUACUGUAUCAGAUUUUUCACUGGAUCCCCAGUGCCAUUAAAAUCCAAAUUACUCACAUGGUCUACAGGACUGGCAUGAGUGGCUCCAGCUUACUUUUCCUCUAUGGUCCCACUAGCACAUUCCAGCCAACCAAUCAUGCUUCAAUUUCUUAAGUAAACUACGCACUCUCUUGCCUCAGUCUUCACUCAUCCUCCUCUCUCCCUGAAACAUCCUUCCCCACCCCUUUUUCUACCUGGAAAACUUGCUCAUCUUUCUGACCAUUGUUUAUAUACCUCCCUUCCUCCAAGGAGCUUCCUUAAUCCCCCCUGCCAAAUCUUGGUUACAGGUUCCCUAUACCUUCCAGAUACCCUCCUCCAUCAAAUACCCUGUACCACUUUAUCAGAAUAUUUAUGGUGCCAUGUCAUAACUAUCUUUUCAAUUUUUAGUAUCUACCACUGUUCAUUUAUCUAGGUUGUAUUUACUAGGCAGUGACCUAAAUCAGCAUUUAUAUUCAUGUCUUGAAUGGCAACAUAAAAUGACACACAUAAAAUUCCUGGAGGACAGCAAGUUGGGGAGAGUAUUAAAUACACUGAAUAUAUGCUUAGGGUCUAAAAUUACAUUAAAAGCUUGGACCAAUUAACCAAAUGCAGUAAGAUGAAAUUCAACAUAGAUACAUGUAAAACCUUAACACUGAGCUACAAAGAAGAAAAUCUUUGCAUAGAUAUGGCUAAAUAGCAACAUGAGUGAGUGGUUUCUAAGGGUCUAGAUUGAAUCCUAAUCAUAGAAAUGACAUCAGAAUGUAUUUUUAAGGGUUUCUCUUUAUCAGGUGCUUCACAUUGAUCAAUAAUAAGAUAGAACUAUUUAAAAUACUAAUGAUAUCUUAGACUGAAAUAACAGAAAUAUACUAUUUAUUUGGAAAGA